GAUGAACGCUGGCGGCGUGCCUAAUACAUGCAAGUCGAGCGAACGGACGAGAAGCUUGCUUCUCUGAUGUUAGCGGCGGACGGGUGAGUAACACGUGGAUAACCUACCUAUAAGACUGGGAUAACUUCGGGAAACCGGAGCUAAUACCGGAUAAUAUUUUGAACCGCAUGGUUCAAAAGUGAAAGACGGCCUUGCUGUCACUUAUAGAUGGAUCCGCGCUGCAUUAGCUAGUUGGUAAGGUAACGGCUUACCAAGGCAACGAUGCAUAGCCGACCUGAGAGGGUGAUCGGCCACACUGGAACUGAGACACGGUCCAGACUCCUACGGGAGGCAGCAGUAGGGAAUCUUCCGCAAUGGGCGAAGGCCUGACGGAGCAACGCCGCGUGAGUGAUGAAGGUCUUCGGAUCGUAAAACUCUGUUAUUAGGGAAGAACAUAUGUGUAAGUAACUGUGCACAUCUUGACGGUACCUAAUCAGAAAGCCACGGCUAACUACGUG
rnacentral:rRNA from 1 species